AGUACUUUCAUUUCUUUAUCCUGUUUAGUUAUUUAUUUAUUUUUUAUUUGAGAGUUACUCAACCCUUUCCUUUUAGUAUUAUUUUACUUUAUUCGUCCCCAUAGGUUUGUUUGUAUAUUUAUGAUGUAGUCUGACAGGAUCUUUCUGUGCCUUCUGGGACUACAGCAAACAUGCAGAUUAAUGUAGAAGCCUCUCCAGGUAUCUCUGGAGAUUAAGCAGAU